AAGGCUUUAGCUUAGUUAAAGUGUCUGCUUUGCACGCAGGAGAUGUGGGAUAAUACCCCGCAAGUCUUA
rnacentral:tRNA from 1 species